UCUACACUCCAACUCUGACGGCUGAGGUGAUAUUUUUUUAAGUUUUUUCCAUGUUUAAUUUCGCUUAAUGCCCUCUGUUUUAUUUAUCCCCGUAACACUGAAUCUGUGCGGUGUCAACCAUCCGUGUGUUAAUACCUAACAAUUGGUAUGGCAAAACCUAACAAUUUAGAAAACAUAGGAUUUUAUCCUCUGUUACCACAAUCUCAAUGACAUCUUCAAGAUUUUAUGCUUUUUUUUUUGGUUGAUUUUGUAGCUACUAUGAAUUCAGGUGCGUGGUGUUUUUCUUUCCAUGAAGAAUUCUAUGAAUUUGAUUUUACAAUUAAAAUGCGAACUUGCGUUAGUCUUGAUGGUGUGGAUUGAGAUUUUGAAGUUAUUGCUCAUUGAAUUAAUAGUCAGAUUGUUGAUAUUUCAUUUUUAUUUAUCUCCUCCUUUGAUUGAGGAGGUUCGGCCAUUGAAAAGUAAACCAGGUGAAGAUGGAAGGGUAAUUUUGGUGAAGUUGGAUCAAAAGAACUGAAUGAGCUCUGCUCAGCUUUGGAGCGCUGACAUGGAGUUCGAUUAGAGAAAACAAGAGCCAAUAUCAGAACUCUCACUGCAUUUUCUACCAACACCAUAAGCAAGAAUAUAUCUUCUUUGAUCACUGCUAUAAGAACUCAAGCAUGGGAGUACUAGAUCUAUGCCUUUCUCUGGUAUGCAUCAGUGGUGGCAAUAGAGUCAUUCAAGGGUGGACUAUGACCAGUGACUUGCAUAUUGGAUCCUAUAUUCCUUCCUAACUGUUACAGAUACUUUCCUUCAAUCCAUUCUAGAAUGGUAAUUAGGAACAAAGUUUCUCUAUCUAUAUUUAAUUUUUAUUUUCUAUGUAAGUUUCUUUUCAGGUUUCUCUUUUGGACCUUUUGGUUGGUGGUCUGAUUAUUUGCAUUAGACAUUAAUACAGCCAGUACUUUGUUAGCAUGGAUGACUCUAUUCCACAAAAAGUAAGUAUUUCUUUGCGGCAAAUAAAUCUUGAAUUUUGUGGGGCCUGUGAUUCUAGCCUUUUGAACUCCACAAAUGGGAGUGAACUUAAUUUGGUUUAGGAACUUUUGUCGGGUAAGGGAGAUGAUACAUUGUUUUAUUUUAUUUCAAUUUUCUCUAUAACCUGUUGUAGCCAAUUCAAAUAUGAAAAUCCAUACUUUCCCUUGGGGAUGGGAUAGAAUUGAUAUGGUUAUAUGCCCUUCUGUGUUUGUCUGUAUGCAGUGUAUUGUUUUGAUUUUGAACUGGGCUGAUAAAACAUGCUCUUAGUAACCAAUGUUGGAUUUCACACACUUGCUUUGAUGGUGGGGCUUUCAAUUGGUAUCACUUAUUAUGACUUUUUAUAGAUUGCCUGAUGAUUCUAAUAUUGUAAGAAUAAGGUAACCAAUUAUCCUUCAUCCAACACUACCAUUUCCAUGCACAGUCACAGGAUGCAAAAGGGAAACUUACCAUGAACCUCUGCUAAGCAAAAGUCAAAACUAUGUAAAUUGUGAGGGGAGGAAGGGAUUUGUUCCCUUUGCUGCCAAUGCAAAAUGCAUUCAAGGUGGACAUGAUAACACUUGACAAUGCUGCAAGGGCAUUGCUUGGCAAUGGCUACGAUUCAACAGCUAUGAGAAAUAUGCAAUGUCGUGGCUGUGGCCAAAAUUUUGAGCGCCUGUGUUAGGAUCAAAGAAGUUCUGCUGCUGCUGCUAAACAAGAAAAAAUAUAUCAGAAGAAGAAAACAAGUGGUGGGUUAAUUUCUUGCAAAUAAGAGCCAAACCCAGUUGUAGAAAGAUGUCAUCACUUGAAUUUAAGCAUAGAAUUAGUCCUCCACACCAUACAGUGACUGAUCAGCCAGUGAAUAUUAAGACUCAAGAAAGGAGCAGUCACAUUGAUAUGUGUUUCCAUUGUAAUGAAGCUCCAUCACAAAGAAACAUAACAUACAUCCAUUCUAGAGAGCAUGUUUUCCCUCCCCUUUGUUACAUGAAUUUUGAACAGAAAAAUUUGUAACUCCUGUUCAUAGGUUUUGCAAUCGGGAGCAGAUGAACUGUAAUCCUUAGUUUUUGCAGACUGUUUUAAGUUUCGACUCUUAUGACCGUUCAUACGUGUCAGUAGUACUUAUACCCAACUACUCCAACACAA